UAAACCUAAGAAGAAUUACUUCUUACCUAAACUUGCAAUUUAGUAUUUCGUUAGGCCU
rnacentral:tRNA from 1 species